UGGAGUAACGCGUGGAAAACCUGCCGUAUACGUGGGGGAUAACACUUAGAAAUAGGUGCUAAUACCGCAUAAGCGCACAGCUUCGCAUGAAGCGGUGUGAAAAACUCUGGUGGUAUACGAUGGUUCCGCGUCUGAUUAGCUAGUUGGUGGGGUAAUGGCCUACCAAGGCAACGAUCAGUAGCCGGCCUGAGAGGGUGAACGGCCACAUUGGGACUGAGACACGGCCCAAACUCCUACGGGAGGCAGCAG
rnacentral:rRNA from 1 species